GUCCAAAAACAAUGUUCUCCCUUUCACCAGCUGAGGUGAAAGGUUUCGAUAUUGGAGAUCCUAUAAAAACGUUCGUGGGAAGUAUCUUGAGGGAACUCAGGUUUAAACGAUAUACUGAAGAAAUCGUACGAAGAAAAGAAUUUAGAAAGAAACUUCUCCGAUCUUUCCGACUUUCGCACAUUCGCAUUUCGUCUCCGUCAUUUCUGUCGGGAGGACUGACAACCGUUGCUACGAUUCAUCACCUAUGCUGUCUACAUCACCUAUUUCUGUUCCGGCAUUUUUCUCCCUGAGUGUCUCCAUCACCACCUUCCCGUCCAGGGACAAGAUCAGGCUAGUCUGUCUCUACUCAGAACUUUGUGAACCGACAAC
rnacentral:lncRNA from 1 species